CAUCAUCACCAUCAUUCCUGAAUAGUCUUCGGGCGAUUGGUGCUGGAAGACAGAAGGUCUUCCGGUGAUAUCGCAAAAGCAUUUAGAGAACCCUCGGAAGAUCAGUCUUCCGAGGGUUUUUUA
rnacentral:sRNA from 1 species